rnacentral:rRNA from 1 species
GACGAACGCUGGCGGCGUGCUUAACACAUGCAAGUCGAACGGAAAGGCCCUGCUUUUGUGGGGUGCUCGAGUGGCGAACGGGUGAGUAACACGUGAGUAACCUGCCCUUGACUUUGGGAUAACUUCAGGAAACUGGGGCUAAUACCGGAUAGGAGCUCCUGCUGCAUGGUGGGGGUUGGAAAGUUUCGGCGGUUGGGGAUGGACUCGCGGCUUAUCAGCUUGUUGGUGGGGUAGUGGCUUACCAAGGCUUUGACGGGUAGCCGGCCUGGGUGGGUGACCGGCCACAUUGGGACUGAGAUACGGCCCAGACUCCUACGGGAGGCAGCGGUGGCGAAUAUUGCACAAUGGGCGCGGGCCUGAUGAGGCGACGCCGCGUGCGUGAUGACGGCCUUCGGGUUGUAAACCGCUUUCGCCUGUGACGAAGCGUGAGUGACGGUAAUGGGUAAAGAAGCACCGGCUAACUACGUG